GGGUUGUGAGGUUAAGCGACUAAGCGUACACGGUGGAUGCCCUGGCAGUCAGAGGCGAUGAAGGACGUGCUAAUCUGCGAUAAGCGCCGGUAAGGUGAUAUGAACCGUUAUAACCGACGAUUUCCGAAUGGGGAAACCCAGUGUGACUCGUCACACUAUCAUUAACUGAAUCCAUAGGUUAAUGAGGCGAACCGGGGGAACUGAAACAUCUAAGUACCCCGAGGAAAAGAAAUCAACCGAGAUUCCCCCAGUAGCGGCGAGCGAACGGGGAGGAGCCCAGAGCCUGAAUCAGCAUGUGUGUUAGUGGAAGCGUCUGGAAAGGCGCGCGAUACAGGGUGACAGCCCCGUACACAAAAGCGCAUGUGCUGUGAGCUCGAUGAGUAGGGCGGGACACGUGGUAUCCUGUCUGAAUAUGGGGGGACCAUCCUCCAAGGCUAAAUACUCCUGACUGACCGAUAGUGAACCAGUACCGUGAGGGAAAGGCGAAAAGAACCCCGGCGAGGGGAGUGAAAAAGAACCUGAAACCGUGUACGUACAAGCAGUGGGAGCACCUUCGGGUGUGACUGCGUACCUUUUGUAUAAUGGGUCAGCGACUUAUAUUCUGUAGCAAGGUUAACCGAAUAGGGGAGCCGUAGGGAAACCGAGUCUUAACCGGGCGUUAAGUUGCAGGGUAUAGACCCGAAACCCGGUGAUCUAGCCAUGGGCAGGUUGAAGGUUGGGUAACACUAACUGGAGGACCGAACCGACUAAUGUUGAAAAAUUAGCGGAUGACCUGUGGCUGGGGGUGAAAGGCCAAUCAAACCGGGAGAUAGCUGGUUCUCCCCGAAAGCUAUUUAGGUAGCGCCUCGUGAAUUCAUCUCCGGGGGUAGAGCACUGUUUCGGCUAGGGGGCCAUCCCGGCUUACCAACCCGAUGCAAACUGCGAAUACCGGAGAAUGUUAUCACGGGAGACACACGGCGGGUGCUAACGUCCGUCGUGAAGAGGGAAACAACCCAGACCGCCAGCUAAGGUCCCAAAGUCAUGGUUAAGUGGGAAACGAUGUGGGAAGGCUCAGACAGCCAGGAUGUUGGCUUAGAAGCAGCCAUCAUUUAAAGAAAGCGUAAUAGCUCACUGGUCGAGUCGGCCUGCGCGGAAGAUGUAACGGGGCUAAACCAUGCACCGAAGCUGCGGCAGCGACACUGUGUGUUGUUGGGUAGGGGAGCGUUCUGUAAGCCUGUGAAGGUGUGCUGUGAGGCAUGCUGGAGGUAUCAGAAGUGCGAAUGCU
rnacentral:rRNA from 1 species